UGUACACUCCUGCGGGAGGCAGCAGUGGGGAAUUUUGGACAAUGGGCGCAAGCCUGAUCCAGCCAUGCCGCGUGCGGGAAGAAGGCCUUCGGGUUGUAAACCGCUUUUGUCAGGGAAGAAAAGGUUCUGGCUAAUACCUGGGACUCAUGACGGUACCUGAAGAAUAAGCACCGGCUAACUACGUGCCAGCAGCCGCGGUAAUACGUAGGGUGCAAGCGUUAAUCGGAAUUACUGGGCGUAAAGCGUGCGCAGGCGGUUAUGCAAGACAGAGGUGAAAUCCCCGGGCUCAACCUGGGAACUGCCUUUGUGACUGCAUGGCUAGAGUACGGUAGAGGGGGAUGGAAUUCCGCGUGUAGCAGUGAAAUGCGUAGAUAUGCGGAGGAACACCGAUGGCGAAGGCAAUCCCCUGGACCUGUACUGACGCUCAUGCACGAAAGCGUGGGGAGCAAACAGGAUUAGAAACCCCAGUAGUCC
rnacentral:rRNA from 1 species